ACAAACCUUGUUCUACUCUCAUUUGACUUAUGAGCAAUCUUUGAUUUUUGCUCCUCUGGGGAAAUUGGAAAUCAUUAUAUUAUGGUAUUGUGGUGUUGGAAAUCAUUAUAAAUAUGGAUGACAUUUACUGGAGAGAGUAUUUCAGGUCUGAGUUUCUGAAAGAAAGUACAACUGUACAUUGAAAAUAGUAGAAGAGAAAACAGACCAUGGUUUAAUGAGAAUUCCUCAUUACCUCGUGUGCUUUGGCAGGGAGUGGGGAAAAAACUCAAAUUGCAGGACAGUCUCUCUAAGGCUCACUGUGGCUCCAGUUCACCAUUUUAUAGUGUUGCAUGUGUAGAACAUAGCUGUUGCUGUUUUUGUUUUUAAUUUAAGUCACUGAGGCACUGUUUUCUUCUUUUGUAAAAAUGAAGUUGUUCACUGUGCACUUAUAGAGAAAAUAAUCAAAAAUGUUGUGAUUUUAGAAGUUCUUUUUUUGAUAAACCAGAAAUUUAGAAGUCAUUCCAUUGUUAUUGUUAGCUUGUAAAAAUGUGUGAACAUAGAGUGGUUUUGGUGACUGCUACUCUAAAAGCUGCCAGAUCUUAUUCAGGGGAUGGGUGCAUCUAUCUAUAGACAUGUGCAUGUUGUAAGUGCGUGUACCUGUACACGCACAUAUGUAUGCAUACCUACCCAUGUGUGUGUGUGCAUAUGUCUUGAAAUCAGUGUUACAGAGUUCUGUACCAAAAACCUUUAUCCCUCAAACUGCUGUGAAUGAUACCUGGCCUUUCUCACUAUGAAUUCUGAUUAACCAACCAGACUACACAUUGCCUCUCUGUGUAUGACUAAGGGCUCCAGCCCAAUGACCCACAGCCACUUGCUUACCGUGGACAGGCUCCUCUUGGCAAUGAGAUGGAUAUGAAAAGACAGAAUGGCUCCACCAUUAGUUGCUGCCAAUGGUAAUACAGUCUUUUUUAGAAGAGCAUAAAAAAGAAUAUGAAAAUUGCUUUACAUUCCUUGAUCUGAACUGAGCUUGAAAUGAUUUGCAUGGUAGAUUAUUUAUUUUGCUUCUAUGUCAGUCAUCAGAACCAAAAAUCUAGAGGAAAAAACUACCAUGAAGAUUAAGUGAUGGGGAAGAGACCUUAUUGACACAUUCCAUGCAUUGGUUUAUUCCUCAGAUGUGAUGUUGGAUUUUAGUCUUGACAAAGCUUGCUAUCAGCACACUUACCAGGUGCCACAUUGUGCUAUUUGUGUGUUAUUUUCUCCUCUUACUUCCUUUGGAAAACAAACUCACAUGGCUUCCCUAUUCUGAGAUCUUGGUCUCAGUGGUAAUAAUUUUUUCCCCUUGGGAAUUUCUAUCUGAGGGAUUAGACCCAGUUUGGAAGCCUCUGUACUUGGCUAGACUGUGCCUUUUCAUUGGGAUAUUUUUGGGCUAUUGCCCAAGUCUAAUAUACAAGCCUCACAGCAGACAGAAGAUAGGAUGAUUAAUCUUUGCUACUGCAAGCCAACAGAGUUAAAAGAGCAGAUCCCUGGGUAAUUGGUCUUAGGCUUCUCCCUCAGUCUCUAUGCACCAUAGUCACCCUGUGCCUUCAUAGCUCUGAUGAGAGGCUGAGGGAGAAAACUGGAGAUACUUUGGAGGGAAUCAAUGAAGAUGCCUGUUCCCUGUAGUUCAGAAAAUUGGUAAUUCAUUUUAAUUCAUCUGUCUGCUGCUGGAGAUUUUUACUUUAAAUUUUUAUAGACAGUUGUGAGCUCUUUUGUAGUAACAAAUUGGGCAUGACUAAAAGGUAAACAAAAAGAUGGCCACAUGCAAGUUUAAUGUUCCUUGAGCCUAAAGAUGACCACAUGUAGUUAAGGCCCCUGAAGACCUCAUGAUGAUGCAGAUAUGCAGGCCUGUGCAGCCAUUCCUAAUGUUGCUACAGCCUAGUAGAUUCAUCAGUAUCCAACGCAUCCUGAAAAUUCAUCUGUGCAAGCAUACUCUGUAAGCCGGUGCUCAUUAGUAGCUUCUAGCAACAUUAUUGACAUAGUACAUGUUCUAUCAUGGGGAGAGAGGGUGGAAGAGAGAAGAAAGGUCAAAGAGAGAGAGGAAGAAAAGAAAAAAGAAAGGAAGUUGGAAAGGAGGAAGGAAGGAACAAAGGAAGGAAGGGAGGGAGGAAGGAAGGAACGAAGGGAAGGAAGGAAGGAAUGAAGGGAGGAAAUCAGGAAGGAAGGAAGGGAAGAAGGAAAAAGAAGGGGAGGGAAAGAAGGAAAGAAUAGAAGGACCCAAAUUCCUAAUCUAUUCUUAGUUCAGCUAAGAGAGUGAGGGCGAACCUUUUCGAGACCAAGUGCCAAACUGCAGCCCCAAAUCCACUUCUUUAUCACAAAGUGCCAACACUGCAACUAAACCUGAAUACUGAGGUUAUAGUUUAGAAAAAUAACUCAUACAUUAACAUGUUUUGUCUUAAAAGAAGAACAGUAACACACAUGCAUAGGCUUGCCAUCACUGAGCUAAAAUGCAACAUUAUAAAAAAUGAAUGGCAAACUUGUAAAUGUGAAGUCAUUCUUAACAGUGCAAUGACUGCAGUAGUACAUGUGGAAAUCAAAACAGCCUAUACCCAAGCAGGCAAUGGGUUGUGAACUGACAAUUAUUCUGUUUUAAAUCAUUUAUUUCCAAUGUUGUGAAAAACCAAAAAUCCUAUCCUAAGCACUCAAAACAGUUCUUUUCAGCUGGGGAUUUAGUUCAGUGGCGUUGCCAUGCCUGCCUUGCAAGGGCAAGGUCCUGAGUUUGAUCCCCCGUACCAAAACAAAACAAAAAACAACAACAAAAAUAUUUCUUUUCAAAAAUUACUUUAAAUUCUCUCAGCUCUUCUAGAGCUGCUCUGGCAGUAUACUCCCACAUCAAAUUUCCUCACCCAGUGGAUAAUUUUUUGAUGCCUACCAUAUGCAAUGCACACAUAUCAUCAGAUCUCCAGUACAAAAUUGAUUCAGCACAGAUUGUUCAGAUGUAGAAUGAUAAAGGAGUUGUAAUCCCUAAAAGCAAGAACCCUGGGAAUCUCCUGAUCCUUAGACUAGAAACCUUUCAGCUAAUAUAAAAAUGGGCCUGGUUUUUCUGGAAGGGAGAACUGAGGGUCGCUUAGCUGAAAGUUGUCUCCUGUGAAAGGAUUAUUGUCUUUUUUCUUACAGUCAAAUAGUAGCAGUUUAUCACUUGGAAUUCUGUAUCUCCCACCAUUUAAAACAUGUGAGAACAUUUGUUUUGAUUUCCAGAUACAAAAGUCCCUUGAAAAAUAAGAGAAAGGUGGAGAAAACAUUUUUUUGUCCUACCCUAGCCUCAGUCAUCAUAACUGGCUCUCUAGACAAAAGGAACACUUCUGGGGGUGGAGGGAAAUGAGGUAUCCAUAGUGAGCCUGCAACCCUUAAGAGAAAAGCUCCAGAGCGUGAAGACAAUUUGGCCUCCCUCCUCCUUUUCAGGCUUUUGUUGCAUUCCUCACAGAAGAAGUUCACAAAUGCUGGAACAUGGUUUGCUAUCAGAAUGAGAAAACCUGAAGUGAAAGGAAUCUAGGGUUUUCCUUUUUCCAUGAUUCUAAUUAUAAACCUGCAGGUUGCUCAGAUGCUGAUAUUGCUGAUGUUUGAUUGGACAGACAAUAGACACACAGAGUGCAGGUCCUGGAACAGAUGGUCCUAUAGUGCCAAGAGCUAGUUGUGUUAAGAAGCCCUGAUUAGGUUGAGAUUAUCCAUGGGGAAAUGAUUUCAAAUAUGGAGGGAUUUGGGAAGAAUUUGUUGUCAUCCACCAGGCAUAUUGGACUAGGACACAUUGCAUUCAGUAAUAUAUGAGUAAAUUUCUUUCUGAUCCUAGGACUUGGUGAUUUCCCCUAUGGAUUAGGACAAACAACCCCCUAGAGGUCUCCUGUACUUACAUUAACAAGCUACUUUCAUCAUGGACACUGGUGGGAUGCAUUUCCUAUAGAUGGUUUAACUACUUUGGGUGUCUAUGGAACAGUAAUAUAGCAAUGAGGAUUCUGGAAGCUAUUUAAAUGUUUUCCAAAGGAACAAGACCCACACUGCUCCCCAGAGUUCAGUUCCUGUGGCCUUACAGUGAGGAGCCAGGGCAAUAGAUUGCUGGGUGCUUAAAAUCCUCCCUCAACAAAACCUUAUAGGCACUUUAUAAAGAACUGAGGAGUGAGCAUGCACUCUCGGUGGGACCCUGUGUGGUGUGUGUUCAUGCUGGACUCAUUGCUCAACUCUACAUAAAAAGUACUAAAUGUGGGGUACUGGGAAAACCAAAGAAGCAGUGGCUGCGAUACCAAAGUUG
ensembl:lncRNA